UACGGAGGGUGCGAGCGUUGUCCGGAAUCACUGGGCGUAAAGGGCGCGUAGGUGGCGCGACAAGUCAACGGUGAAAGCUCGGCGCUCAACGCCGAGUCGGCCGUCGAUACUGUUGGGCUUGAGCACUGUAGAGGAUAGUGAAUUCCCGGUGUAGUGGUGGAAUGCGUAGAUAUCGGGAGGAACACCAGUGGCGAAGGCGGUUGCCUGGAGCUUUGCUGACGCUGAGGCGCGAAAGCGUGGGGAGCGAGUCCGG
rnacentral:rRNA from 1 species